CAGGCCCCAGGAGAGCUGCUGCUCUGGCUGCCAGCUUGGUUCCCAAGGGCCCUGCUUAUCCUUUGCCUUCCCUCCUGAGCCAGGGGUCAGGACUGAGGGUCCCUCUGAGGCAAAACCCCCCAAGUGCCCUGGAGACACCAAGCUGGACACUCUGUGGUCACAUCAGGAAAUGCUGUAGGGAAGAAAGUGUGCUGUCACCUAUAAGUGUGUAUAACAGUUCGAGUUUAUGUUUGAGGAAAGGAGAGCAGGGUGGCUAGAAGGGUCACUGAUAAUGGUCUUAGAGCUCCUUUGGGUGAGUGUGAGUGACA